rnacentral:rRNA from 1 species
UCCUACGGGAGGCAGCAGUGGGGAAUAUUGCGCAAUGGGCGAAAGCCUGACGCAGCGACGCCGCGUGAGGGAUGAAGGUUUUCGGAUCGUAAACCUCUGUCAGAAGGGAAGAAACUACAUUGUGCUAAUCAGCAGUGUACUGACGGUACCUUCAAAGGAAGCACCGGCUAACUCCGUGCCAGCAGCCGCGAUAA